UACAGAGGGUGCAAGCGUUGUUCGGAAUUACUGGGCGUAAAGCGUGCGCAGGCGGUUCGCUGUGUCCUGUGUGAAAGCCCCGGGCUUAACCUGGGAAUGGCAUGGGAAACUGGCGGGCUGGAGUGUGGCAGAGGGGGGUGGAAUUCCGCGUGUAGCAGUGAAAUGCGUAGAGAUGCGGAGGAACACCGAUGGCGAAGGCAGCCCCCUGGGCUAACACUGACGCUCAGGCACGAAAGCGUGGGGAGCAAACAGG
rnacentral:rRNA from 1 species